rnacentral:rRNA from 1 species
GUGUCAGCCGCCGCGGUAAUACGUAGGGGGCAAGCGUUGUCCGGAAUCAUUGGGCGUAAAGCGCGUGUAGGCGGCCAUCCAAGUCCGAUGUGAAAGCUCGGGGCUCAACCCCGAGUCUGCAUUGGAAACUGUAUGGCUUGAGUCCGGAAGAGGAGACUGGAAUUCCUGGUGUAGCGGUGAAAUGCGCAGAUAUCAGGAAGAACACCGGUGGCGAAGGCGGGUCUCUGGGACGGUACUGACGCUGAGACGCGAAAGCGUGGGGAGCAAACAGGAUUAGAAACCCUCGUAGUCC